GACGGAGGAUGCAAGCGUUAUCCGGAAUGAUUGGGCGUAAAGCGUCCGCAGGUGGCAGUUCAAGUCUGCUGUCAAAGACCGGGGCUUAACUUCGGAAAGGCAGUGGAAACUGAACAGCUAGAGUAUGGUAGGGGCAGAGGGAAUUCCUGGUGUAGCGGUGAAAUGCGCAGAUAUCAGGAAGAACACCCGUGGCGAAAGCGGCUCUCUGGAACGGUACUGACGCUGAGACGCGAAAGCGUGGGGAGCGAACAGG
rnacentral:rRNA from 1 species